rnacentral:ncRNA from 1 species
CCAAAAGAUGGUGAAAUCUGCCUGGGCAGGGCGAAGCCAGAAGAAACUCUGUAGCGGUCCUGACGUGCAAAUUGGUGAUCUGCCCUGGGUUUAGGGGCAAAAGACUAACUGAAUUAUCAUAGUAGCUG